UUGACCUCGGAUCAGGUAGGGAUACCCGCUGAACUUAAGCAUAUCAAUAAGCGGAGGAAAUACCCGCUGAACUUAAGCAUAUCAAUAAGC
rnacentral:rRNA from 1 species